UACGUAGGUGGCUAGCGUUGUCCGGAUUUACUGGGCGUAAAGAGCGCGCAGGCGGUCGGUCAAGUCGAGUGUGAAAGCCCCCGGCUCAACUGGGGAGGGUCACUCGAUACUGAUCGACUUGAAGGCGGGAGAGGGAAGCGGAAUUCCAGGUGUAGCGGUGAAAUGCGUAGAUAUCUGGAGGAACACCGGUGGCGAAGGCGGCAUCCUGGACCGAUACUGACGCUGAGGAGCGAAAGCGAGGGGAGCAAACGGG
rnacentral:rRNA from 1 species